GUACAGAGGAAAGUAGACGGAGGUAAGUUUCAGCAAAGAACUAAGGCCGUAAUGUUUGGAGAUGUCAAAUUUGAGGUAGAAUGCUUUAGUAGAGCUGUUUAGCAGACACGGACAAGCAGCUCCAAGGUUCAGGAAUGAGGUCCGGUUCCGAUUAGUUUUUGCAACAGGGUGAGAGUUAAGUCGGAAAAGUAGGUGAGCUCUCUUAAGGAGUCAGAACUGGCCGAAACAUUAGAGCUGCCACACGCCCUGGUCGCCCCACUCUCAUAUGGUCCACAAUCUUCGCCUGGUCCACAUGGUGAAAAGAAGACUUCAAACAAUUCCAGACAUUAAAAUCUUAUUGUCUAGGACCUAGACUCCAGGUGGUCAUGGACAGACUGGUGGAGCGGCCCCUGCUGUCGCUGCCACUUCUUUUAGGAUACAGUCUGAGAUUCCUCUCAGAAAGUACUCAGAUGUGUUUAACUUUGGACGACUCAACAAGUGCUCGAGCCACGGGAGCCAAACGGUUAGCAGGACCCACAUGAGAACACCAUGGAGUGGGAUGCAGGACUUCCAGAAGCCCAGCGCAGGAGCAGCAGAAUGGAGCAAGCUGGCUUUCCUCUCUUCCUGUCUUGAAGUGCUACCUUGCCACAAGUCAGGAAGUCAUGACACCAAAAAAGCUGUGAGCUAAAAUAAACCUUUUUACU
rnacentral:lncRNA from 1 species